AUGGUUUCAGGAAAAAGGUCACCUAACAAGUUCUCCGUUGAUUCUUUGGAGCCGAUGGGAAAAACCUCCGAAGCACCCAAGAUGCCGAGCGAUCCACUACGGGUUAAGGUAUCCCUUCUCCACCACCCUUUCAUUACGGGAACACUAACCCCACUUUGCUGUGCGUGCAGAUGUAGGGAGGAGGACCAAUCUGUGGAGGCAAGGAAACAUAGAUCUAUGGAGUUUGGUGUAGCCGCGUUUAGCGCGGUAGCUGGUGUCGUCGUCUCGAAGCUCUGUGUGCUGAUGGAAAAGAAAUUAAAGAAGGAACCAGAAAUUAGAGCUAAUGUUAGGUUCAUCAAAGAUGAUCUCGAGGCGAUCCAAGCUGCCAUUGAACUUCACGGUCCUAAUCGCGAACAUACAGUAUUGAUUGCACAACUGAGGCGCUUGGCAUAUGACAUUGAAGACUGCAUAGACUGCUUCGAUGCUAACAAGACGACCCGCACCGAUUUUGCCAACCAGAUUGUUGACCUCAAGAAUAGAUCAAUUGAAACGACGGAAAGGAUACACAGGUUUAGAUUCCCUGCAGAAGGGGAGGGCAGGAGGACUGCACAAGUACCAGAGGCUGCUCUUGUUGUCCCCAUAGAGCUUCAGAAUCUUGGUGAUUAUAACCUCAACUGCUUGCUCUAUUUGUGCUUGUUCCCUCGUAAUCAUCCUGUCAGGACUAAGCCCCUGGCAAGGAGAUGGCUGGCUGAAGGACUAGUAUUGGGAGAACAAGACGCUCUGGAGAACAUGAAAAUUCUCACCAACUCCAGUAUCUUCGAUUCCGUCCGGAGAAGCAACAAUGGGGAGGUGAGGAGAUGCCAACCUACAGAUGUGUUGUUCCGGUACAUCUGCCAACAGUCAACGUCCGAGAAUUUCAUACUGUUCUGCGACGGCGCGGCGCAACCAUCCCAGCAGCGCACAUCGUUGCAGGGGCAAGUCGCCCGCAGGCUAUCUGUUCAUCCUCCGGCAAGUGGCCAACUGAAUCUGCCUCAGGAUUUAUCUCGUCUCCGGACCUUGGCGGUAUUCCCUGUUGGAGCGGCGAAUAUCGCCAGUUAUGAAGCUGUUUUAGAUUUCACCAAGUAUGAGUUACUGCGAGUGUUGGAUCUGGAAGAGUGUGCUCACAUGAGUAAAGAUCAUAUCCAGGCUAUCUACAAGCAGAAGCUGAUGAAAUAUCUGAGCAUCAAUUUGGACAGCAUUCCUUCCAUUACAAGCAAAAUCAAGCACCUGGAUCAGCUAGAGACCCUCCAUCUGAGUGGAACCGAAACAGUGACGGUGUUCAAAGAGGUCCUCCUGCUGCCCAGAUUGAAGCACCUGUUUGGGAGGGUUGAGCUAUCCAAAACAGAUAACACCAUAUUGGGAUGGAGAUUAAAGAGGUUCCUGAGAGACAAGAGUGUGCUGGAGACGCUAGCAGGAUUUGUCACCAGUGGGAGUCCAGGAUUUCCACAACUGAUGAUGCGUAUGAGGCGGCUGCGGAAGGUGAAGAUAUGGUUCAAAUCCGACUCAAGUCAGAAAAACCUGGAUGCUAUUUCACUGGCCGUUACGAAGUUCAUCCGUGAUGGCACCAAUGAGCCCGAUCUUAACCGGUCCCUAUCCAUGGACUUCCGGCAAUGCUCGGGUGAGUUCAUAAAUACUAUACGCUGUGAUGCUAACAAGAAGGGCAGGCUUGACUCGCUCAAGCUGCGCGGCGAACUGAGCAAAUUCCCUCAGUUUGUUGCACAGCUACGUGCUGUCGAGGAGCUGUGCCUUUGGUCCACUGGUCUGAGUUGGACGGAUAUCCUAGACGGGCUGAGCACGGUGAGGGGACUGAAAUAUCUCAAGCUUGUUGAAGAUAACAUCGGGCGCAUCGAGAUACUGCCUGAUCACCUCAUAAGCGUUGAGCGGAUAUGCGUCCAGUGCGAACAAAGGCUGGAACUAACGGUCGUAGCUCGCCCGCUGCCUAAACUUGUGUCACUUCAUAUCAUCUGUCAAGAUCUGCAUGUUAUUACCGGACCUCCCUGCAUCGACAUCACACACAUGGACCAACUCAAGGAAGUCGCGCUCCAUUCUCAAGUCGACCCAACAAUAAUAGCUAACCUGCAACAAGCUGCAAGCAGCCAUCGGAAUACGCCAGUCGUUUCACUAACUGAAGGCACCCAGUAA
rnacentral:rRNA from 1 species